rnacentral:rRNA from 1 species
GCACAAGCGGCGGAGCAUGUGGAUUAAUUCGAUGCAACGCGAAGAACCUUACCUGGGCUUGACAUGCACUGGAUGCGGCCAGAGAUGGUUGUUCCCUUUGUGGCUGGUGUGCAGGUGGUGCAUGGUUGUCGUCAGCUCGUGUCGUGAGAUGUUGGGUUAAGUCCCGCAACGAGCGCAACCCUUGUCUCGUGUUGCCAGCAUUUGGUUGGGGACUCGCGGGAGACUGCCGGGGUUAACUCGGAGGAAGGUGGGGAUGACGUCAAAUCAUCAUGCCCCUUAUGUCCAGGGCUUCACACAUGCUACAAUGGCUGGUACAGAGAGUUGCGAUACCGUGAGGUGGGGCUAAUCUCUUAAAGCCAGUCUCAGUUCGGAUUGGAGUCUGCAACUCGACUCCAUGAAGUCGGAGUCGCUAGUAAU